CUUUCCCUCUUGCUGCCUUCCUAACACAUGCAAGUCGAACGAGUGGCGGACGGGUGAGUAAUGUCUGGGAAACUGCCUGAUGGAGGGGGAUAACUACUGGAAACGGUAGCUAAUACCGCAUACCAUCGGAUGUGCCCAGAUGGGAUUAGCUAGUAGGUGGUGUCCCGGCCCACCUAGGCGACGAUCCCUAGCUGGUCUGAGAGGAUGACCAGCAAGACUGGAACUGAGACACGGUCCAGACGCCUUCGGGAGGCAGCAGUGGGGAAGAUUGCACAAGGGGCGCAAGGCUGAUGCAGCCAUGCCGCGUGUAUGAAGAAGGCCUUCGGGUUGUAAAGUACUUUCAGCGGGGAGGCGUUACCCGCAGAAGAAGCACCGGCUAACUCCGUGCAAGCAGCCGCGGGAAUU
rnacentral:rRNA from 1 species